GAAAGUGUGGCUCAGCGGUAGAGAGAGCACCUGCCUAGCAUGCAGAAGACUCUGGGUUCCAUCCCCAGUACCA
rnacentral:tRNA from 1 species